CUGGAUUCAGCCUAAUAUCAUCCAUUUAAGAUUUCAGGGAAGUAUUGAAACCUAUCUCCCACAAAAGAUAAGUGCAAGGGUAUCUGAAAGGACUGGCAAACAGAUUGUUAGAGAUGAGUGUGUAGCUGAAAAUCUGACUGUCUUCUGGGGAAGUGCCACAAAUCAUCCUUGAAUCUAAUCAUGUUACUACUGGUGGGCAUGCAUUCCAUUACCAAUGACAUAAGCUCCUAAACUGCUGUCUGAAGCCUGAAAUAUGACGUCAGCAAACAACACUACCAAAGGCGAGAUCGCCAAGACGGGUCAUGAAGCAAUUCCUUUUACAUCUUUUUAUUUCAGGUGUUGGCAGCUUUUGUUUUAAACUGGACCGUCUCUUCAUGUGCGAACUUGUUUCUUUUAAAUUCGGUUCCUCGCAGUGUUAAUUUUAGUUCAAAUGUUUCGCUCUGCUUUAACAGGUCGGUACCCGUGUCAGGUUCAUUUAAAAACAAACCUCAUUGCCAAUGUUAUGUUUUCUAAC